CGGGUCAACGGGUGAGAUGUGCGAGAGCGCUUCCCAAUCUCUAAAUCCGCUCGUGCUGGGGAUCGAGGCUUGCAAUUUUCCCUCUUGAACGAGGAAUACCUUGUAAGCGCGGGUCAUCAUCCCGUGCUGAAUACGUCCCUGCCCUUUGUACACACCGCCCGUCGCUCCUACCGAUUGAGGGUCCGGUGAGGCCUUGGGAGGGAUGGAUGGACUGUGUUUUCACAGACUGUCUGGCCCGAACUUGGUCAAACCUUAUCACUUAGAGGAAGGAGAAGUCGUAACAAGGUUUCCGUAGGUGAACCUGCGGAAGGAUCAUUCGUAGUGGGAUAGCGGACUUGGCACCUUGUGUGUCUGGUCUGCUUUUCUAUCAUAUCUCGUGAACACUUUUAAUCCAUAUUUUUGUUUUACAACCAUUUCAAUCCAUUUGAACAUAAAUAAACACAAAAUUCUGUUUUAACCAGACAAAAACUCGUGACGGUGGAUGUCUUGGCUCCAGCAACGAUGAAGAACGCAGCAAAAUGCGAUACGUAGUGCGAAUUGCAGAACCCGUGAAUCAUCGAAUCUUUGAACGCAAGUUGCGCUCGCGGGUAAUCCUGCGAGCAUGUCUGUUUGAGUGUCCGCACAAAUGCGACUUUUGCUCUUUUAUAAAAGAGCUGCUGAUGGGCGUGCAGAAAUGCAGUGAGUCCGGGUUCCUUCCGUUCAACGGCUGGGAUGCGGUCGCCCGAAGAAGAGAGCGCUGAUUGUCGUGGUCUGUCCUUUUACUUUAUCCUUUGGAUUCAGGGGGCUUUUGGGUGCGGUCUUCCAAGACUGCUGCCUGAUGACACGAUCUGAGCGUGCGCUGCGAAGUAAUUUUAUUGAGCAGUCCGCAAAGUUCGUUUAUUAGGAACGCGAAUCAUUUAUUUGUGAGCGACCGAGAGUGUUUUCUGGCCUUUGGUGUCAAAAGCGUACAGCCGUGUGCAAGUAGCCAAAAACCAUUACUUUCAUUUUGGAUCUCAAAUCAGACAAGACGACCCGCUGAAUUUAAGCAUAUAAUUAAGCGGAGGAAAAGAAACUAACAAGGAUUCCCCUAGUAGCGGCGAGCGAAGCGGGAAAAGCCCAAGAUGAAAAGCCUGCUUGCAGGCGUUGUAGUUGAGCGUCCUCGGGGUGUCAGUGUGGGCAAGUCGCAUGGAAAUGCGCGCCGUGGAGGGUGAGAGCCCCGUCCAACUCACACAGGACACGCCGUACGAGGCCGUUUCAGGCGAGUCGGGUAGCUUGGGAAUGCUGCUCUAAUCGGGGGUAAAUCUCAUCGAAGGCUAAUAGCGG
rnacentral:rRNA from 1 species